rnacentral:rRNA from 1 species
AGAAUCAACGCUGGCGGCGUGCCUAACACAUGCAAGUCGCACGAGAAAGGGACUUCGGUCCUGAGUACAGUGGCGCACGGGUGAGUAACACGUGAAUAAUCUACCUCCGAGUGGGGAAUAACUGAGAGAAAUCUUAGCUAAUACCGCAUAACACUUACGAGUCAAAGCAGCAAUGCGCUUGGAGAGGAGUUCGCGGCAGAUUAGUUAGUUGGCGGGUAAUGGCCACCAAGACGAUGAUCUGUA